CGUGGUGACACGUGGAGCUGACAAAUACUAAUCGGUCGAGGACUUAACCAC
rnacentral:rRNA from 1 species